rnacentral:rRNA from 1 species
CACGUAGGCGGAUAUUUAAGUCAGGGGUGAAAUCCCAGAGCUCAACUCUGGAACUGCCUUUGAUACUGGGUAUCUUGAGUAUGGAAGAGGUAAGUGGAAUUCCGAGUGUAGAGGUGAAAUUCGUAGAUACUCGGAGGAACACCAGUGGCGAAGGCGGCUUACUGGUCCAUUACUGACGCUGAGGUGCGAAAGCGUGGGGAGCAAACA